CUACCCUCAUUCCUUUCCCAACUCUCGGACCAAUCGUUUCGGCUUUCCAAAUUCUAAAUUUUUUAAUUCUAAAAUUCAAGAUGCCUUGCUGCCCCCCUUGCUGUGCUCCAGCCUGCUGCGGACCCUGCUUCUGCCCCAAGCGCUAUCUCGUGGACAAGGAGAACGCUCCAUGCGUGUGGUGUGCCCCUUGCAAGGCCCACUGCUACAACACCCCUCCAAAAUGCUGUUGCUAGGGUCAGAUAAGCGGAUCCCAUAGCGAAGUUCAACUUGCGGAUUAACCUUAUUCCUGUGACCUCCCAUUCCUAUCCCCUUUUCUAUGCGCGGGUGGCUUCUAAGUGGCUCUCAGACGCGCGAUGUCAAUGCUUCCGUGCCAUGUCCUUACCGAGAUAGUUUGAUAUCGAUGGGACAUGUUGAGCAAGCAAUGUCCUUCAGUUUAAACCAAAUUGGAGCCAGUUCAAGUCAGGAAAUCUGAAGACCACUCUGUCAAAACGACCGGAGGAGGGAUGAAGGUGCCAAAUCCUGGUAGCCGGGCAUUUAAAAAUUUUAACAUUUUGAAUCCAAUUUAGGCAAUAAAAUUGUAAGCUAUCUAUA
rnacentral:sRNA from 1 species